UUAUUUAUAUUAGAUCUUCUGUCUUAGAAACCAGAGAGUGUUUGUAUGAGUUUGCUAGCUGAAGGAAAAUGGAGCAUACCUAAAGCAACCAUUUGCAGUAAUGUCUGCAGACAAAUAACAGCCAAAAAAUAGUCCUCAUCAAGUUCACAACAUGAAAUGUUCUGGGUGUCCAGGGAGCGUAAUGGUUAACACACUAGCUUCUCACCGCUGUGACCUGAGUGUGAUCCCAAUGAUCGACAGUGGUUGUAUGUGAGAGGGUAUGGCGGUCGCCCACUCAGACACAUGGGUUUCCUCCGGGUACUCCGGUUUCCUCCCACAAAUGACCUAGCACCAACAUCCUUGCAAGUUGGUAAAUAAGUAUAUAGCUAAUGUUCAUCGUUGUUAUGUCCAACUUUUGAAAUAAAGAUUAUUUAUUUA